rnacentral:rRNA from 1 species
AUCUACAGCCAUACCACCCUGAACGUGCCCGAUCUUGUCUGAUUUCAGAAGCUAAACAGGGUCGGGCCUGGUUAGUACUUGGAUGGGAGAAAAAAAAAACUCUCAAAUUCUAUUCU